CCUACGGGGGGCAGCAGUGAGGAAUAUUGGUCAAUGGACGAGAGUCUGAACCAGCCAAGUAGCGUGAAGGAUGACUGCCCUAUGGGUUGUAAACUUCUUUUAUAUGGGAAUAAAAUGUUCCACGUGUGGGAUUUUGUAUGUACCAUAUGAAUAAGGAUCGGCUAACUCCGUGCCAGCAGCCGCGGUAAUACGGAGGAUCCGAGCGUUAUCCGGAUUUAUUGGGUUUAAAGGGAGCGUAGGUGGAUUGUUAAGUCAGUUGUGAAAGUUUGCGGCUCAACCGUAAAAUUGCAGUUGAAACUGGCAGUCUUGAGUACAGUAGAGGUGGGCGGAAUUCGUGGUGUAGCGGUGAAAUGCUUAGAUAUCACGAAGAACUCAGAUUGCGAAGGCAGUUCACUGGACUGCAACUGACACUGAGGCUCGAAAGUGUGGGUAUCAAACAGGAUUAGAUACCCCUGUAGUC
rnacentral:rRNA from 1 species